GGGGGCUGGGGUUGCCGUCGGCCACUGAGGGGUUGGUGCCCAGCUGCCCUGGGCCAUGCCGCGUGGAACCCCCUGGCAGCAGGAUGGCCAGGCAGCCCCGGCUACACUCUGUAGAGGCCCCUCGUCCAGCCGGGCCCCUGCCCACCUACUGCCUGCACGCCUCACCUAGACUACAACUCAGGUGUCAGACCCAAGAACUAUCUGCCCAGAUGGCCCCGGCCUGAUGCCAGGGCCUGAGAGGUCAGGCUGUGCACUCUGAGGAAGGAGAUGCCAGCACUUGAGGCGGAGCACUUUAUUACAAGCAACACAGGAAGAAUGCUGGAGGUCAGACCAGAGAUGAGCAGCAACUGGCCGCACAGAGAUUUAUAUUUAUGCAGUUUCCUCGAAGGUUUCUGGCUUCAGCGUCAUGCAAAAAAAAGGCCUUCUCAACUCCAAGGUUUUUUAAAGUGAUGUUCUAAUAGAAAAGAGAUUAAAUAAAGCAUCUCUGGAGUGACAAAGGAGGUCAGAGCAGUGCCGUGUGCAAACACUGGGCUUGUUCAGAACUUUUCAGGAAUGCGUGUCUUGGGCACACAGUGGCUCAAGCGUGUUUCUUUCCCAUCUGGGUGCCUGGUGGUUAACCCUUCCUUCUACUGAGCAACUGCACACUGCUC